UGGGGAAUAUUGGGCAAUGGACGCAAGUCUGACCCAGCAACGCCGCGUGAAGGAAGAAGGCUUUCGGGUUGUAAACUUCUUUUAAGGGGGAAGAGCAGAAGACGGUACCCCUUGAAUAAGCCACGGCUAACUACGUGCCAGCAGCCGCGGUAAUACGUAGGUGGCAAGCGUUGUCCGGAUUUACUGGGUGUAAAGGGCGUGCAGCCGGAGAGACAAGUCAGAUGUGAAAUCCACAGGCUCAACCUGUGAACUGCAUUUGAAACUGUUUCCCUUGAGUAUCGGAGAGGUCAUCGGAAUUCCUAGUGUAGCGGUGAAAUGCGUAGAUAUUAGGAAGAACACCAGUGGCGAAGGCGGAUGACUGGACGACAACUGACGGUGAGGCGCGAAAGCGUGGGGAGCAAACAGG
rnacentral:rRNA from 1 species